AUACAAGACUUUGUAAGAAGGUGCGACAUUUGCCAAAGACAGAAGUACAUAGCUUCAUCUCCAGGAGGUUUGUUACAACCUCUACCCAUUCCUCACCAAAUCUGGGAAGAUAUAUCGAAUGACUUCAUCACCGGGUUGCCAAAAUCAAAAGGUUUCGAAGCUAUUUUGGUGGUGGUGGACAGAUUGUCCAAGUACUCUCAUUUUAUUCCUCUAUAUACUGCUAGGAGAGUUGCUGGAGUAUUUUGUAAGGAGAUAGUCAAACUCCAUGGCAUACCUCUUUCCAUGGUGAGUGACAGGGAUCCCAUUUUUAUGAGCAGUUUUUGGAGGGAG